rnacentral:rRNA from 1 species
CAUAGCCACGGUAAUACGUAGGUGGCAAGCGUUGUCCGGAAUUAUUGGGCGUAAAGGGCUCGCAGGCGGUUUCUUAAGUCUGAUGUGAAAGCCCCCGGCUCAACCGGGGAGGGUCAUUGGAAACUGGGAAACUUGAGUGCAGAAGAGGAGAGUGGAAUUCCACGUGUAGCGGUGAAAUGCGUAGAGAUGUGGAGGAACACCAGUGGCGAAGGCGACUCUCUGGUCUGUAACUGACGCUGAGGAGCGAAAGCGUGGGGAGCGAACAGGAUUAGAUACCCCAGUAGUCCCUGUCUCUUAUACA